rnacentral:rRNA from 1 species
UACGUAGGUGGCAAGCGUUGUCCGGAUUUACUGGGCGUAAAGCGUGCGUAGACGGUUAUUUAAGUCGGGUGUGAAAGCCCCGGGCUCAACCUGGGAACUGCAUCCGAUACUGGUCGGCUUGAAUCCGGGAGAGGGAUGCAGAAUUCCAGGUGUAGCGGUGAAAUGCGUAGAUAUCUGGAGGAAUACCGGUGGCGAAGGCGGCAUCCUGGACCCGGCAUUGA